UCAGCAGAGAUUCAUGUGAAUAUUGAAGGUGAACAGGCAGAAAUAUUAUUUGGUGUCCUCGCUAUACUGAAGACUGUGGGAAUCAUAAUGCUUGUGAGCACACUGGUCAUCUUUGAGUGCUGGUUCAGAUCAAAACGCUCCAACAAACCAGAGACAGAAAGCUGUCAGAUGAGCAGAGUUACAUCACAGCCCAACAACUAAAGUGUCUGCAAGUCCAGGAGGACAAACUGCCUCAAAAUAUCACUUCAUUCACUUGAUGGUGUUAAUGAGAUGAUGCUCAGUGUGAUGGUCGUCCUCCUGUGAGGUUCCUCCAUCUCCACAAAGAAACUCUGGGUCUCAUUCAGUGUCCUCUGUGUUCUUGGUUUCUUGAGCUCUUCUGUCCCAGAGUCCAGUCAAGUUAUCAACUCCAACAGUAGAAAAUUGUAGUUUCUU